rnacentral:rRNA from 1 species
CCUACGGGGGGCUGCAGUGGGGAAUAUUGGACAAUGGGGGCAACCCUGAUCCAGCCAUGCCGCGUGUGUGAAGAAGGCCCUCGGGUUGUAAAGCACUUUCAGUGAGGAAGAACGCCUGGUGGUUAAUACCCAUCAGGAAAGACAUCACUCACAGAAGAAGCACCGGCUAACUCCGUGCCAGCAGCCGCGGUAAUACGGAGGGUGCGAGCGUUAAUCGGAAUUACUGGGCGUAAAGCGCGCGUAGGUGGCUUGAUAAGCCGGUUGUGAAAGCCCCGGGCUCAACCUGGGAACGGCAUCCGGAACUGCCAAGCUAGGGUGCAGGAGAGGAAGGUAGAAUUCCCGGGGUAGCGGUGAAAUGCGUAGAGAUCGGGAGGAAUACCAGUGGCGAAGGCGGCCUUCUGGACUGACACUGACACUGAGGUGCGAAAGCGUGGGUAGCAAACAGGAUUAGAUACCCCAGUAGUC